CCUACGGGAGGCAGCAGUGGGGAAUAUUGGGCAAUGGGCGAAAGCCUGAUGCAGCAACGCCGCGUGAGCGAUGAAGGCCUUCGGGUCGUUAAGCUCUGUCCUCAAGGAAGCUAAUGACGGUACUUGUGGAGGAAGCCCCGGCUAACUACGUGCAAGCAGCCGCGGUAAUACGGCGGGGGCUAGCGUUAUCCGGAAUUACUGGGCGUUAAGGGUGCGUAGGUGGUUUAUUAAGUCAGAGGUGAAAGGGUACGGCUCAACCGUAGUAAGCCUUUGAAACUGGGGAACUUGAGUGCAGGAGAGGAGAGUGGAAUGCGUGGUGUAGCGGUGAAAUGCGUAGAGAUUAGGAGGAACACCAGUUGCGAAGGCAGCUCUCUGGACUGUAACUGACGCUGAGGCACGAAAGCGUGGGGAGCGAACAGGAUUAGAUACCCUUGUAGUC
rnacentral:rRNA from 1 species